UACAGAGGGUGCAAGCGUUGUUCGGAAUUAUUGGGCGUAAAGGGCGCGUAGGCGGUGCGGUAAGUCUGUAGUGAAAUCUCUGGGCUCAACUCAGAGUCUGCUGCAGAAACUGCCGUGCUUGAGUGUGGGAGAGGUGAGUGGAAUUCCCGGUGUAGCGGUGAAAUGCGUAGAUAUCAGGAGGAACACCGGUGGCGAAGGCGGAUCUCUGGGCCUUACCUGACGCUGAGGAGCGAAAGCAUGGGGAGCAAACAGG
rnacentral:rRNA from 1 species